UAGGGAAUUUUCGUCAAUGGGGGAAACCCUGAACGAGCAAUGCCGCGUGAGUGAAGAAGGUCUUCGGAUCGUAAAGCUCUGUUGUAAGUGAAGAACGGCUCAUAGAGGAAAUGCUAUGGGAGUGACGGUAGCUUACCAGAAAGCCACGGCUAACUACGUGCCAGCAGCCGCGGUAAUACGUAGGUGGCAAGCGUUAUCCGGAAUCAUUGGGCGUAAAGGGUGCGUAGGCGGCGUACUAAGUCUGUAGUAAAAGGCAAUGGCUCAACCAUUGUAAGCUAUGGAAACUGGUAUGCUGGAGUGCAGAAGAGGGCGAUGGAAUUCCAUGUGUAGCGGUAAAAUGCGUAGAUAUAUGGAGGAACACCAGUGGCGAAGGCGGUCGCCUGGUCUGUAACUGACACUGAGGCACGAAAGCGUGGGGAGCAAAUAGG
rnacentral:rRNA from 1 species